CAGCAUUGUUCUGCUACGUCUGGUUAGUCAAUACAAUUAAAAAAAAAGCUCUAUAAAUAUUUACAGAAAGGACCAAAAUCAUUAUAUUUAGGUAAUUGUUACCUAGAAUAAGAGAAUGACAUACAAAAUUCAUGAAUAAGAAAGUUUGGUUAGGGAGCCUGACACAUUUUAAUGGAAAAUCUUAAAUAUCAUAGAGAUAUCAGCUACACCAAUUUGUUCUCUAACAUGUGAUGAAUUUUUCAACAGUUUUUUGGGAGAAAACUUAAGAAAAUGAUGCAUGCUCUAUUUGAUCUGUAUGAAUAAAGAAGAGAGUAUAAGAAAAAGUAACGAAGGAUCCCAU
rnacentral:lncRNA from 1 species